rnacentral:rRNA from 1 species
ACGUAGGGUGCAAGCGUUGUCCGGAUUUAUUGGGCGUAAAGAGCUCGUAGGCGGUCAGUCGCGUCGAUCGUGAAAGCCCGAGGCUCAACCUCGGAAUUGCGGUCGAUACGGGCUGACUAGAGUUCGGUAGGGGAGACUGGAAUUCCUGGUGUAGCGGUGAAAUGCGCAGAUAUCAGGAGGAACACCGGUGGCGAAGGCGGGUCUCUGGGCCGAUACUGACGCUGAGGAGCGAAAGCGUGGGGAGCAAACAGGAUUAGAUACCCUGGUAGUCCACGCCGUAAACGUUGGGCGCUAGGUGUGGGCUCCAUUCCACGGAGUCUGUGCCGCAGCUAACGCAUUAAGCGCCCCGCCUGGGGAGUACGGCCGCAAGGCUA